rnacentral:rRNA from 1 species
AGCGAACGCUGGCGGCAGGCUUAAUACAUGCAAGUCGAACGACACCAUCGGUGUUAGAGGCGGAUGGGUGAGUAACACGUGGGAACGUGCCUUUAGGUUCGGAAUAAUCCAGCGAAACUUGUGCUAAUACCGAAUGUGCCCUUUGGGGGACCGAUUUAUAGCCGUUAGAGAGUGCCGUGUCUGAUUAGCUAGUUGGUGUGGUAAUGGCUCACCAAGGAUAUGAUUAGUAGCCGGUCUGAGAGGAUGACCAGCCACAUUGGGACUGAGACACGGCCCAGACUCCUACGUGAGGCAGCAGUGGGGAGUCUUGCGCAAUGAGCGAAAGCCUGACGCAGCCAUGCCGCGUGGAUGAUGAAUGUCUUAGGAGUGUAAAAUCCUUUCACCGGUGAAGAGAAUGACUGUAGCCGGAGAAGAAGCCCCGGCUAACUUCGUGCCAGCAGCCGCGGUAAAAC